GUGCUUAACACAUGCAAGUCAAGGGGGCCCGCAAGGGCAACCGGCGAACGGGUGCGUAACACGUGAGGGACCUGCCUGGAAAUGGGGGAUAGCCGGCCCAACGGCCGGGUAAUACCGCAUACGCUCAUCGAGGGGCAUUCCUUGGUGAGGAAACUUUCGAGGUUUUCAGCGGGGCUCGCGGCCUAUCAGCUAGUUGGCGGGGUAACGGCCCACCAAGGCGACGACGGGUAGCUGGUCUGAGAGGAUGGCCAGCCACAUUGGGACUGAGAGACGGCCCAG
rnacentral:rRNA from 1 species